GCUUAUCACCAUUCCAGAUUGAAUAUACCCGAUCUCGUCUGAUCUCGGAAGUCAAGCAAUCUCGGGCUUGGUGAGAAUUGGAUGGGUGACCGCCGGGGAGUAGCAUGUG
rnacentral:rRNA from 1 species